ACAAUCAUAUCAUAUUGAAAAACCGGUUCCUGUACGAUCACCAAAUUUAAGCAACGUCGAGCAUGGUCAGUAGCUAGAUGGGUGACCGCUUGGGAAUGCUAGGUGUUGUAAG